CCUACUCCUCCCGCGCCUGUGCGUCGCCUCGUGGUUGCGUCACUGAGCGGCGCCGGCGGUGUGGCUGUUGUGCGGCGGCGGGGCCGCGCUGUCGCCAUGGCGGACAUGGAGGAGCUGUUCGGCAGCGACGCGGACUCGGAGGCCGAGCAGAAAGAUUCCGAUUCUGGAUCUGAAUCUGACUCUGACCAGGAGAAUGCUGGCUCCGGCAGUAAUGCUUCUGGAAGUGACAGUGACCAGGAUGACGACAGGGUGGCAGCAAAACCCAGUAAUAAGGAGUUAUUUGGAGACGAUAGUGAGGAUGAAGGGGCAUCGCAUCACACAGGGAGUGACAACCACUCUGAAAGAUCCUACAACCGAUCUGAAGCUUCAGGACACUCUGAGCAUGAAGAUAACGAUCAGUCAGACGUGGACCAGCACAGCGUUUCGGAAGCUGCUCACGAUGAUGAGGAGGAUGACCACGGGCACGGGUCAGAUGAAGGCAGUCAUCAUUCAGAGGGAGAUGGUUCAGAAAAGGCACAUUCAGAGGAUGAGAAGUGGGGCAAGGAGGACAAAAGUGACCAGUCAGACGACGAGGAGCGACAGCAGAACUCUGAUGAUGAGGAGAGGCAGCAGAACUCUGACGAUGAGGAGAAAGUGCAGAACUCUGAUGAAGACGAACGGCCGCAGAUGUCUGAUGAUGAGGAAAGACUCCAGAACUCAGACGAGGAGAAGAUGCAGAACUCUGAUGGUGAGGAGAGGCCCCAGGGCUCGGAUGAGGAGAAGAUGCAGAACUCGGAUGAUGAUGAAAGGGCUCAGCAUUCCGACGAGGAGAAGAUGCAGAACUCUGACGAUGAUGAAAGGACCCAGCACUCCGAUGAGGAGGAUCAGGAGCAUAAAUCUGCAGAGUCUGCGAGGGGCAGUGAUAGCGAAGAUGAAGUUCUGCGAAUGAAGCGAAAGAAACCAAUUGCAUCAGAUUCAGAAGCGGACAGUGAUACAGAAGGACAGAAAGAGCACGCAGAUGUCAUGGAUCUGUUUGGAGGUGCAGACGACAUUUCCUCCGGGAGCGAUGGAGAAGACAAACCACCAACGCCAGGACAGCCCAUCGAUGAGAAUGGACUGAGUCAAGAGCAGCAGGAGGAAGAGCCUAUUCCAGAGACUAGGAUAGAGGUGGAAAUACCAAAAGUAAACACAGACUUGGGUAAUGAUUUGUAUUUCGUGAAGCUGCCCAACUUCCUUAGCGUGGAGCCCAGACCUUUUGAUCCCCAGUAUUAUGAAGAUGAAUUUGAAGAUGAGGAGAUGCUUGAUGAAGAGGGUAGAACUAGGUUAAAACUCAAGGUAGAAAACACAAUACGAUGGCGGAUGCGCCGAGACGAGGAAGGGAAUGAGAUCAGAGAAAGUAAUGCACGGAUAGUCAAAUGGUCAGAUGGAAGCAUGUCUCUCCACUUGGGCAACGAGGUGUUUGAUGUGUACAAGGCGCCGCUGCAGGGAGAUCACAACCAUUUGUUCAUCAGACAGGGGACGGGUCUGCAGGGACAGGCGGUUUUCAAGACCAAGUUAACCUUCAGGCCGCACUCCACAGACAGCGCCACUCACAGGAAGAUGACGCUGUCUCUGGCAGAUAGAUGUUCAAAGACCCAGAAGAUCCGUAUUUUACCAAUGGCAGGUCGCGAUCCCGAGUCUCAGCGCACAGAAAUGAUUAAGAAAGAAGAGGAGAGGUUGAGAGCUUCCAUUCGCAGAGAGUCUCAGCAGCGGAGAAUGCGGGAGAAGCAGCAUCAGCGCGGUCUGAGUGCAAAUUAUUUAGAACCUGAUCGCUAUGAUGAAGAGGAUGAGGGCGAUGAUGCAAUCAGUCUAGCAGCCAUCAAAAACAGAUACAAAGGUGGCAUCAGAGAGGAACGUGCUAGAAUCUACUCUUCUGACAGCGACGAGGGCUCAGAUGAAGAUAAAACACAAAGGCUGCUCAAGGCAAAGAAACUGACUAGUGACGAGGAAGGUGAACCUUCUGGGAAGAGAAAAGCAGAGGAUGAUGACAAAGCAAGUAAGAAGCAUAAAAAAUAUGUGAUCAGCGAUGAAGAGGAAGAAGAUGACGAUUAGUAUUGAGGAAGAACAAAAGUUGAUUUCUUUUUUAUAUAUAUAUUUAUAUAUAUUGUACAGUUCUCUUACAACAAAGAUAUUUUCUCCUGUUGCAGUAGCUGUUGCCCCCUGGAUCAUCACAGUGCCAUGCUUUUAAUCUUACACAGUACAUUUCAGUUUCGUGAAUUGGUGUAACUGGUUAUCCAAGUGAAUUCAUCAGUGGUUUUCACUGGGUUCAUUAGGAGAAACCGUUCUAAUCUUUCUAGAACGCUUAGAGGCUGAGUUUGCCUGACGGUGUGGCGAUGCAGCUCGCCCUUUGUGUGGAAGGGCUGGAAGAAUAUGUGAGCGCUCCAGUACAGUUCUUUUUUCCUACAUGUUCCUUGUUUCCUGUGGACAGUCCAUUACUAUGCUGGUGUAUUUUCAUGGCUGAAAAUACUGCUUUGUAUUUGAGUAAACUGAGAAUCCUGCGGUUGGAAUAGUUAAGCGAUCAUGUAAGACAUUUAUUUUUCAUGCAUCGAAGCCCAGAACAAAAAUGUGUGUGUUGCCUGAGCGUUAAUCAUAAGAAUGACAGGCACAUGCUGAUGGAAAUGGGAGUAAAAGCACUUACUUAAACAAAACCACGAAAUUUCUACCAGCAGAGAUGGAAGCUUCCUUUAAAUGAACCACAAUGCAAAAAUAUAUCCUAACAAUAGUGUCUCAUAAUUUCAUAUAAUCCCUCUGGUGCAAUUUCCUAUUGAUCCUGGUUGGUUUGAUAAGUAGGUUUGUGUAGCUGGAAGGUCACUGGAGGAGAAUGUUCUGGACAGAAUCUUUGCUGCUUUUAGACUGUUUUAAACACCUUCUGUGAGGGUGCAGUACCAGUUGCAAUGUGUGGAAAGGCUGGAAGAAAUACCUGAACCUUUCCACACUUCUUUCAAGAGGAAAUAUCCCGUAUGUGGUUUCUCCCCUUGGUGAGGGAACAUUCAGGUGGUGUCUGUGUUGCUUUUUUAACAGGCUUUGCACACAGUCCUGCAGAUUUUCUAAAGGAAAGAAACCAGAACUAGCUUAAUGCCUCUUUAGACAAAACCAUUGGCCACCAUUGGUCAAUGCCUCUUUAGACAAGACCAUAUCCACCAUUGCUGUGGAUAGUUUAUGAUGUGGAUUCGUGUAAUGCAAGAUGAAAUAAAGUAGCUGACAGUUGUGUAACAAGGACUGUUACCCGGUGCAAGUGCUCCACAGUGCGCACUUUGCUCUCCUGACAUUCCCUGGUUUUUGAGAUAGAGCUUUCGACCUGGACGUCAUGCCGUUGUCACCUUUAGUCAGGCCAGUAGUUUGUGCAUCUCUCCUGCAAGUAUGAAAGCAAAGUGCAAAAUUCCAUCUCUGAUGUCUGAGUGUGUGAGAAACUGUUCUUUUUUUUUUCCCUCUAAUUAAAUUGUUACCUAAGAGUUCCUGCGCCUCGUUAAUGUGUAGAUAAAACCUUUCUCCAUCUGCUGGAAUUCUCUCCCUGUGAUCCUUAGUUUAGCCGUGUGCUGGCAGGCGGGCUCUGACGCGCGUUCCCUGCCGUGCGCGAGCGGCCGGGGGGCAGCCGGAGCUCAGACAGGGACCCGUCCUGCCCGGGGUGACGUGCUGUACCUUCACCUGAAAGCCUGCCAGGUGCCUCCUAAACAACACAUCUGGCACAUGGAAACCCAGCACCAUUUCACUGGUAAUGCGUUUGCUUUUAUGUCACUUUAACUGAAGUGUUGGGUAUUUUUAUUUUUACUAAACCCCUAAGAGUGCAAGUGUUUUAAUCACUUUCAUAGGUCUGAUGCUGACUAAACCUUUACUAAUAAGCCGUCUGCUUUAGCUUCCAAAAGUGGAUUACAAAGAUGAAAAGAAGCCAUUUUUUACACUGUCUUCUUUUGUAAAUUGCUCUUUCAAAGUCUUAUUUAAAUGUGGAAUUUUGGAAAGUGUUUCCUCAGCUCAAAUUACUUUAGCAAUCAUCUUGUAAUUAAAGUCACUUGAAUGAA